UGUAGAUUGAUAGACUUUCCUUGGUGCAGCAGUACAAACAAAGCCCCGAGCAACAGAGUUUUACAACCUGAACAUCCAGGAGGAAGUACCUCAUACCAGUGCUUCAUGAUGAUGAAGAGAAGACCAGUCAGAGCUUUGAGGAAAUGCCAGGUGCCAAAGGAGCUCCAAAGUUUCCCGCUGUUCCCUUGAUAAAUCUGCCAAACUGUUCUGUUCCUCAGCUCCUGUUUACAGGAGUGUUAAACUGCCUGAAUAACUAAGCACACAUUAAAGGGGACAAAGCUUAUUGAGGGCAAAGUAUAACAAAUAUCUUAAUAAUGGAAAGAGGCAUUUGGUUUAUUCAUAGUGAAAAGAGUGAUAAACUACAAAGCCCUGAAGUCGAAAGUUAUUCUCUUGAUACCACAGUUUUUAUGUUUCCUCUUU